GGCCGCGCGCCCAUCAAGGCCGAGCGCGCCGCGCAGGCGCACGGCCCGGCCGCCGCCGCCGUCGCCGCCCGCGGCGCAUCCAGGACCUUCUUCCCCCAACAGAGGUCCCAAAGCGAAAAACAGACCUAUUUGGAAGAGAUGCAUUUAGAAGAUACUACCAGAUUCUGUCCCAAAGAAGAAAGAGAAAGUGAACAAACAUCUUUCAGCGAUCAAAAUCCCAGGCAAGACCAGAAGGGGGGCUUUCGCAGCUCCUUCCGCAAGCUCUUUAAAAAGAAAAAUGGGAACGCAACUGGUGAAGAUUUCUGUGGUCCUUGGGGCUGGUGGUGACAUCAAAGCUUUCCUAUUUUCAGGGACUUCUGACAUGAGAAAACUGGAGAAGGUGCAGAGCUGGAAUGGAUUACCCAAGUGGCUUAAGCAAGAUAAAGGAAGAAUGCACCCUCGACUGGGGACUCAAAUGGACUGAUCUGAGUUGUUGACUAUUGAUUGGCUUUGGUCUCUUUUGUGGUGGUUGAGAUUAUAGUAUCUCUGCAAUCUGAUUACUGUACGAAUUUCUGCAUUCUACCAAAUGUAGCAUAUAUGUGUGGUUGGCUUCAA
rnacentral:lncRNA from 1 species